rnacentral:rRNA from 1 species
ACGGAGGAUGCAAGUGUUAUCCGGAAUCACUGGGCGUAAAGCGUCUGUAGGUGGUUAAAUAAGUCAACUGUUAAAUCUUGAGGCUCAACCUCAAAAUCGCGGUCGAAACUAUUAGACUAGAGUAUAGUAGGGGUAAAGGGAAUUUCCAGUGGAGCGGUGAAAUGCGUAGAGAUUGGAAAGAACACCAAUGGCGAAAGCACUUUACUGGGCUAUUACUGACACUGAGAGACGAAAGCUAGGGUAGCGAAUGGGA